CUUAGAUUUCCUGCAAAGGAGAGCUCUGGCGAUGGAGAGUGUCAGCAACAAUGGCCACCAUCAACAGCAAUCAUCGGGCCACCAGGUGAAGUCAACCCAUUCAAGGCCAGCGGUAGUCAAUGUGUCAACUACGUCACAAGUAUGCGUCUACUGUAAUCUAAGUGCUAUUGCCGGAACAGCUACACAGCAUCGAGAGUCCUAUACCUAGUGCUCCUGUUCCAGGUCUCAUCAACACACAAUUCGGUCAUAUAAUUGGGGGUAAUAUACCCACCCAUAAACCUAAAAGGCAGGUAACACUUUUAUGUACUACUUGCGACUCAAGCAUAGAUGUAGCUCUAAAGCAAUUUUGGAGAACAGAAGAAGUCCCACAAACAUUUAAUGAAAGCUUGCCAGAGCAUGAUCUAUGUGAGGAUGUCUUUAAAAAAUCUGUUCAAUUAAAAAAUCAACAAUUUCAAGUGGAUUUACCCUUAAAAAUACCACUUGAUCAAGUAAAUGAGCACUUAGGUGAUUCAUUUAAUUUAGCUCUGAAUAGGUUUACAAA